rnacentral:misc_RNA from 1 species
AUUAGUCUUGCUGCAUUAAACAAGGUUAGUACGUACUUACGUAGUAUGGUACUAUUUUUCUAUUUUGUGUUCUUUUUAGCAGUUCGUACCCAAUUAGAUGUUGAAAUUAAAUGCAAAUCUUAAUACAUUUAACUAAUUUCUGUUGAUUUCUGAUCAUAGUAGUUGAAGUAAUCAAUACUAGACAUCAACCAAAGAAUGCAAUUAAAAAUAUUAAUUGGUAUUUCAACUUGUUACAUACAAAUUAAACAGAAAAAAAAAAAAAAAAAA